ensembl:snRNA U2 U2 spliceosomal RNA
AUCGCUUCUUGGCCUUUUGGCUAAGAUCAAGUGUAGUAAACGUCUUUUGAUGACUACCUAUAAAAUCCAUGGAUGAGAAAAUUAUUAAGAAAGAACUUUGUUGUAUAUUUCAGUUCUUUUCAGAAUUUUUGCCAAAAAAUUCUGUGUUUA